rnacentral:rRNA from 1 species
UACAGAGGGGGCAAGCGUUGUCCGGAUUCAUUGGGCGUAAAGAGCGUGUAGGCGGCCAGGUAGGUCGGUUGUGAAAACUGGAGGCUCAACCUUCAGAGGUCGACCGAAACCAUCUGGCUAGAGUCCGGGAGAGGAGAGUGGAAUUCCUGGUGUAGCGGUGAAAUGCGCAGAUAUCAGGAAGAACACCCGUGGCGAAAGCGGCUCUCUGGAACGGUACUGACGCUGAGACGCGAAAGCGUGGGGGAGCGGACAGG